AGCGAACGCUGGCGGCAGGCCUAACACAUGCAAGUCGAACGGAUCCUUCGGGAUUAGUGGCGGACGGGUGAGUAACACGUGGGAACGUGCCCUUUGGUUCGGAACAACUCAGGGAAACUUGAGCUAAUACCGGAUGUGCCCUUCGGGGGAAAGAUUUAUCGCCAUUGGAGCGGCCCGCGUCUGAUUAGCUAGUUGGUGAGGUAAAGGCUCACCAAGGCGACGAUCAGUAGAUGGUCUGAGAGGAUGAUCAGCCACAUUGGGACUGAGCCACGGCCCAAACUCCUACGGGAGGCAGCAGUGGCGAAUCUUUCGCAAUGGGCGAAAGCCUGACGCAGCCAUGCCGCGUGAAUGAUGAAGGUCUUAGGAUUGUAAAAUUCUUUCACCGGGGACGAUAAUGACGGUACCCGGAGAAGAAGCCCCGGCUAACUUCGUGCCAGCCGCCGCCGUAA
rnacentral:rRNA from 1 species